UUAAAAAGACGACCUCAGUUCGGAUUGAAGGCUGAAAUUCGCCUUCAUGAAGUCGGAAUUGCUAGUAAUGGCAGGUCAGCAUACUGCCGUGAAUACGUUCCCGGGCCUUGUACACGCCGCCCGUCACACCAUGAGAGUUGGAGAUACCCGAAGCCUAUGAGCUAACUUUUAGAGGCAGUAGUCGAAGGUAGAAUCAAUGAUUGGGGUGAAGUCGUAACAAGGUAGC
rnacentral:rRNA from 1 species